UACGGAGGGAGCUAGCGUUGUUCGGAAUUACUGGGCGUAAAGCGCGCGUAGGCGGCUUUGCAAGUUAGAGGUGAAAGCCCGGAGCUCAACUUCGGAAUUGCCUUUAAAACUGCAUCGCUUGAAUCCGGGAGAGGUGAGUGGAAUUCCGAGUGUAGAGGUGAAAUUCGUAGAUAUUCGGAAGAACACCAGUGGCGUAGGCGGCUCACUGGACCGGUAUUGACGCUGAGGUGCGAAAGCGUGGGGAGCAAACAGG
rnacentral:rRNA from 1 species